GAUGAACGCUGGCGGCGUGCCUAAUACAUGCAAGUCGAGCGAACGGACGAGAAGCUUGCUUCUCUGAUGUUAGCGGCGGACGGGUGAGUAACACGUGGAUAACCUACCUAUAAGACUGGGAUAACUUCGGGAAACCGGAGCUAAUACCGGAUAAUAUUUUGAACCGCAUGGUUCAAAAGUGAAAGACGGUCUUGCUGUCACUUAUAGAUGGAUCCGCGCUGCAUUAGCUAGUUGGUAAGGUAACGGCUUACCAAGGCAACGAUGCAUAGCCGACCUGAGAGGGUGAUCGGCCACACUGGAACUGAGACACGGUCCAGACUCCUACGGGAGGCAGCAGUAGGGAAUCUUCCGCAAAGGGCGAAAGCCUGACGGAGCAACGCCGCGUGAGUGAUGAAGGUCUUCGGAUCGUAAAACUCUGUUAUUAGGGAAGAACAUAUGUGUAAGUAACUGUGCACAUCUUGACGGUACCUAAUCAGAAAGCCAUGGCUAACUACGUG
rnacentral:rRNA from 1 species